rnacentral:rRNA from 1 species
AGGAUGAACGCUGGCGGCGUGCUUAACACAUGCAAGUCGAACGAUGAACCUCACUUGUGGGGGGAUUAGUGGCGAACGGGUGAGUAACACGUGAGUAACCUGCCCUUAACUCUGGGAUAAGCCUUGGAAAACGGGGUCUAAUACCGGAUAUUUACGAUUGAUCGCAUGGUUGGUUGUGGAAAGAUUUAUUGGUUUUGGAUGGACUCGCGGCCUAUCAGCUUGUUGGUGAGGUAAUGGCUUACCAAGGCGACGACGGGUAGCCGGCCUGAGAGGGUGACCGGCCACACUGGGACUGAGACACGGCCCAGACUCCUACGGGAGGCAGCAGUGGGGAAUAUUGCACAAUGGGCGCAAGCCUGAUGCAGCGACGCCGCGUGAGGGAUGAAGGCCUUCGGGUUGUAAACCUCUUUCAGUAGGGAACAAGGCCGGCUUUUGGUUGGUUGAGGGUACCUGCAGAAGAAGCGCCGGCUAACUACGUGCCAGCAGCCGCGGU